rnacentral:rRNA from 1 species
AGAGUUUGAUCCUGGCUCAGAACGAACGCUGGCGGCGUGCCUAACACAUGCAAGUCGUACGAGAAAUCCUGGGCAACUGGGAGAGUAAAGUGGCGCACGGGUGAGUAACGCGUGGGUAACCUACCCUUGAAUUGGGGAUAACUCUCCGAAAGGGGAGUUAAUACCGAAUAACGUUCCGAUUCCUACGGGAGUUGGAAUCAAAGGUGGCCUCUGCAUGCAAGCUAUCGUUUAAGGAUGGGCCCGCGUGCCAUUAGCUAGUUGGUAGGGUAAUGGCCUACCAAGGCAGCGAUGGUUAGCUGGUCUAAGAGGAUGGCCAGCCACACUGGAACUGAGACACGGUCCAGACUCCUACGGGAGGCAGCAGUGGGGAAUCUUGCGCAAUGGGGGAAACCCUGACGCAGCAACGCCGCGUGGGUGAUGAAGGCCUUCGGGUCGUAAAGCCCUGUCAGGUGGGAAGAAACCUGUGGAUGCUAAUACCAUCCACAAUUGACGGUACCACCGGAGGAAGCACCGGCUAACUCCGUGCCAGCCGCGGUAAUACGGAGGGUGCAAGCGUUGUUCGGAAUUAUUGGGCGUAAAGCGCGUUUAGGUGGUUGGGUAAGUCAGAUGUGAAAGCCUUCUGCUUAACAGGAGAAGUGCAUUUGAAACUGCUCGGCUGGAGUACGGGAGAGGAGAGUGGAAUUCCCGGUGUAGAGGUGAAAUUCGUAGAUAUCGGGAGGAACACCAGUGGCGAAGGCGGCUCUCUGGUCCGAUACUGACGCUGAGACGCGAAAGCGUGGGGAGCAAACAGGAUUAGAUACCCUGGUAGUCCACGCCGUAAACGAUGGGCACUAGGUGUAGGAGGUAUUGACCCCUUCUGUGCCGAAGCUAACACAUUAAGUGCCCCGCCUGGGGAGUACGGCCGCAAGGCUAAAACUCAGAGGAAUUGACGGGGGCCCGCACAAGCGGUGGAGCAUGUGGUUCAAUUCGACGCAACGCGAUAACCUUACCUGGGUUUGACAUCCGCUGACCGCUACGGAAACGUAGUUUUCCCCGCAAGGGGACAGCGAGACAGGUGCUGCAUGGCUGUCGUCAGCUCGUGUCGUGAGAUGUUGGGUUAAGUCCCGCAACGAGCGCAACCCUCAUCCUUAGUUGCCAUCAUUGAGUUGGGAACUCUAAGGAAACUGCCUCGGUUAACGGGGAGGAAGGUGGGGAUGACGUCAAGUCCUCAUGGCCUUUAUAUCCAGGGCUACACACGUGCUACAAUGGGCGGCACAAAGGGUUGCAAUCCCGCGAGGGGGAGCUAAUCUCAAAAAGCCGUUCUCAGUUCAGAUUGGAGUCUGCAACUCGACUCCAUGAAGGCGGAAUCGCUAGUAAUCGCGGAUCAGCAUGCCGCGGUGAAUACGUUCCCGGGCCUUGUACACACCGCCCGUCACACCAUGAGAGCUGAUUGUACCAGAAGUCGCUCGGCUAACCCGCAAGGGAAGCAGGCGCCUAAGGUAUGGUUGGUGAUUGGGGUGAAGUCGUAACAAGGUA